AGUGAACGCUGGCGGUAGGCCUAACACAUGCAAGUCGAACGGCAGCACAGUAAAAGCUUGCUCUUACGGGUGGCGAGUGGCGGACGGGUGAGGAAUACAUCGGAAUCUACUUUUUCGUGGGGGAUAACGUAGGGAAACUUACGCUAAUACCGCAUACGACCUACGGGUGAAAGCAGGAGAUCUUCGGACCUUGCGCGAUUGAAUGAGCCGAUGUCGGAUUAGCUAGUUGGCGGGGUAAAGGCCCACCAAGGCGACGAUCCGUAGCUGGUCUGAGAGGAUGAUCAGCCACACUGGAACUGAGACACGGUCCAGACUCCUACGGGAGGCAGCAGUGGGGAAUAUUGGACAAUGGGCGCAAGCCUGAUCCAGCCAUACCGCGUGGGUGAAGAAGGCCUUCGGGUUGUAAAGCCCUUUUGUUGGGAAAGAAAAGCAGCAGGUUAAUACCCCGCUGUUCUGACGGUACCCAAAGGAUAAGCACCGGCUAACUUCGUG
rnacentral:rRNA from 1 species